UACAGGGGGGGCAAGCGUUGUUCGGAAUUACUGGGCGUAAAGCGUACGCAGGCGGCUUUGCAAGACAGGUGUGAAAUCCCCGGGCCUAACCUGGGAACUGCAUUUGUGACUGCAUGGCUAGAGUUUGUCAGAGGGGGGUGGAAUUCCACGUGUAGCAGUGAAAUGCGUAGAUAUGUGGAGGAACACCGAUGGCGAAGGCAGCCCCCUGGGAUGUGACUGACGCUCAUGUACGAAAGCGUGGGGAGCAAACAGG
rnacentral:rRNA from 1 species